rnacentral:lncRNA from 1 species
CUGCCUUUUAAAGGGAAGGCUUUACUGGAAUUUGAGCCAGAACUGGAGCGACGCUAGUCCAAAGAAUCCUGGGGGAUCUUGAUUAAAAGGCAGAUACCUGGGCCCACCCCCAACACAGACCUCCUGUGAAGACACUCUUCUGGAGUCACCCUCUCAAUACAGAGCUGAGCAAAGGGAGUCACAGAGAGGGCAAGUGACUUGGCAUGGGCACACAGCAUGUUAGAGCGGAGGCUGAGCGAGAACUCGGGUCACCUUCAGGGUGGAGUAUAUGGCCCACUGAACCUCGCUGCCUCUUCUGAGCCUCCGGGGUGGGGGGGCCCUCCUCUCUUCCAGCCCCUUCCUCACCAUCUUCCACCUCCUUUCUGGUGACCGCAGCUGGGCCCUGGCAUUUUUAGCUAAAGCUGAAAUGGAGCCUCAGGGGACUAGAAAUCAUGCAAAAGAGAGAAAAGUGGGGGAACGGGCACGGAAGCCAGGGGAAUGAAAAUCUCUCAGGUGGGAAGGGGAGUCAGGAACCAGAAGCCACCCCAUGAUAUCCAAGCAGCUGGGGCGGGGCUUCUCCUGGGACCUGCCCACGCGUGCCACCACUGGGGCCUCUGACUGGGGAGGGCUCCGAUGGCAGCCCAGGAAACCACAAACCCUUGCAGGCCCUAAAAGAGCCUGCCUCUAACCUCCCUCUGCAACAGCUCCGUGCUUCAGAUCCAAGUGCAGCCGGAGGCCGGGGUGCUGGUUAGUUAGUUGCUUAGUUCAAGCUUCUGGCUCCUGGACCCGGAUUUCUGCUGACAGCCCCAGGCCAGCUGGUGGGACCGGAUCUGGGGUGUGGACCAGGGGCGGACCGCUGCCCAGACCUGCCUCUCACGCCUGCUGCAAGGGGCACUGGGACCCUGCUGGGCGCAGCCUCCAGUCUUCCACCCGGUGAGCAGCCACUCUGGUCUGGAACCUCCAGGUCUCAGGCCCCCCCACCACUCCCCCACUCCAGCUGGACCCAGACUCCUCCCAGGCGGUGGGUGGAGAGGCCUUGGGUCUUGGGCCCGGCUCCCCCGACACCUGCUCAUGGACCUGGAAGGCCCUCCUGAGCUUAGCUGAGUGGCUGAGCAGCUAAUUCCCACCUGGGUGAGAAUGACGGGCUCACAGGGUCCUUACAUUUUAAAAGUAAUAGAGCCUGGAGUCAGAGCUGUGCUGCUAAUGCCUGGCGG